rnacentral:rRNA from 1 species
UCCCCCUACGGGGCGCAGCAGUGAGGAAUAUUGGUCAAUGGACGCAAGUCUGAACCAGCCAUGCCGCGUGCAGGAAGACGGCUCUAUGAGUUGUAAACUGCUUUUGUACGAGGGUAAAUGCAGGUACGUGUAUCUGUUUGAAAGUAUCGUACGAAUAAGGAUCGGCUAACUCCGUGCCAGCAGCCGCGGUAAUACGGAGGAUCCCAGCGUUAUCCGGAUUUAUUGGGUUUAAAGGGUGCGUAGGCGGGUUUAUAAGUUAGAUGUGAAAUCCCGGGGCUC